CGUCACGUAGAGUAGUUGUAGUAUGGCUCAGGACGAACGCUGGCGGCGUGCCUAACACAUGCAAGUCGAGCGGGGACAUACGACGGAUCGGAAGUUUCGGAUGGAAGAGAAGAUGUAUGUUCUAGCGGCGGACGGGUGAGUAACGCGUGAGCAACCUGUCCUUCACAGGGGGAUAACACAGCGAAAGUUGUACUAAUACCGCACGAGACCACACUGGGACAUCCCAGAGGGGGUCAAAGGAGCAAUCCGGUGAAGGGUGGGCUCGCGUCCGAUUAGAUAGUUGGUGAGGUAACGGCCCACCAAGUCGACGAUCGGUAGCCGACCUGAGAGGGUGAUCGGCCACAUUGGGACUGAGACACGGCCCAAACUCCUACGGGAGGCAGCAGUGGGGAAUAUUGGGCAAUGGGGGGAAAAACCCCUGACCCAGCAACGCCGCGUGAGGGAAGAAGGUUUUCGGAUCGUAAACCUCUGUCCUUGGUGAAGAGUAAGAGACGGUAGCCAAGGAGGAAGCCCCGGCUAACUACGUGCCAGCAGCCGC
rnacentral:rRNA from 1 species